rnacentral:rRNA from 1 species
CGGGGUGGAGUAACGCGUGGGUAACCGUGCCUUGUACAGGGGGAUAACAGUUGGAAACGGCUGCUAAUACCGCAUAAGCGCACAGCAUCGCAUGAUGCAGUGUGAAAAACUCCGGUGGUAUAAGAUGGACCCGCGUUGGAUUAGCUAGUUGGUGAGGUAACGGCCCACCAAGGCGACGAUCCAUAGCCGACCUGAGAGGGUGACCGGCCACAUUGGGACUGAGACACGGCCCAA